rnacentral:rRNA from 1 species
CACUUCUAAGGAAGGCAGCAGGCGCGCAAAUUACCCAAUCCUGACUCAGGGAGGUAGUGACAAGAAAUAACAAUAAACCGGCUUAUGCCGGUUUAAUUGGAAUGAGUACAAUUUAAACAUCUUAACGAGGAACAAUUGGAGGGCAAGUCUGGUGCCAGCAGCCGCGGUAAUUCCAGCUCCAAUAGCGUAUACUAAAGUUGUUGCAGUUAAAAAGCUCGUAGUUGGAUUUCUGUGGGGACGGAGCGGCCGGCCGCACAUCGCGGUUCGAGCUAGCGCUUUCCCUACAUCCUGCCGCGAACCGUGCUACCAUUAAUUUGGUGGCGCCGGGGAUCGGCUCGAUUACUUUGAGAAAAAUAGAGUGUUCAAAGCAGGCCACAUGCCUUGAAUAAGUUAGCAUGGAAUAAUAACUAAGGACUUCGGUUCUAUUUUGUUGGUGUUCGGGACUGAAGUAAUGAUUGAUAGGGACAGUUGGGGCGGUCUGUAUUCCAAAGCGAGAGAUGAAAUUCUUAGACCUUCGGAAGACAAACAGCUGCGAAAGCGUUCCGCAAGGAUGUUCCCUUUGAUCAAGAACGAAAGUUGGGGGAUCGAAGACGAUCAGAUACCGUCGUAGUCUCAACUAUAAACUAUACCAGCUAGGGAUCGGCCAACGUUAUUUUAUACCGACUUGGUCGGCACCUUAUGAGAAAUCAAAGCAUCUGGGUUCCGGGGGGAGUAUGGUCGCAAGGCUGAAACUUAAAGGAAUUGACGGAAGGGCACCACCAGCCGUGGAGCCUGUGGCUUAAUUUGACUCAACACGGGAAAACUUACCAGGUCCAGACAUAGUAAGGAUUGACAGAUUGAUAGCUCUUUCUUGAUUCUGUGGGUGGUGGUGCAUGGCCGUUCUUAGUUGGUGGAGUGAUUUGUCUGGUUAAUUCCGUUAACGAACGAGACCUUAACCUGCUAAAUAGCGCGCGUGAGCUUUGCUCGCGGCGAGCUUCUUAGAGGGACUAUGAUGCGCGAUAGCACAUGGAAGUUUGGGGCAAUAACGGGUCUGUGAUGCCCUUAGAUGUUCUGGGCCGCACACGGGCUACACUGGCGCCUGCAACGAGCAUAUCAGCUGGCCCGAGAGGGUCUUGGCUAAUCUUUUGAACCGGCGCCGUGCUUGGGAUUGACCUUUGCAAUUGUUGGUCAUGCAACGAGGAAUGCCUUGUAAACGCGAGUCAUCAGCUCGCAUUGAAUACGUCCCUGCCCUUUGUACACACCGCCCGUCGCUCCUACCGAUGAAUGUUCCGAUGAAAUUUUCGGAGAGCACCUGUGAACUUGGCUCUGCCUUGCGAACGGGAGGCUCAAAGUCACUUAAAUCUGAACAUUUCGAGG